GACGAACGCUGGCGGCGUGCCUAAUACAUGCAAGUUGAGCGCUGAAGGUUGGUACUUGUACCAACUGGAUGAGCAGCGAACGGGUGAGUAACGCGUGGGGAAUCUGCCUUUGAGCGGGGGACAACAUUUGGAAACGAAUGCUAAUACCGCAUAAAAACUAUAAACACAAGUUUUAAGUUUGAAAGAUGCAAUUGCAUCACUCAAAGAUGAUCCCGCGUUGUAUUAGCUAGUUGGUGAGGUAAAGGCUCACCAAGGCGAUGAUACAUAGCCGACCUGAGAGGGUGAUCGGCCACAUUGGGACUGAGACACGGCCCAAACUCCUACGGGAGGCAGCAGUAGGGAAUCUUCGGCAAUGGACGAAAGUCUGACCGAGCAACGCCGCGUGAGUGAAGAAGGUUUUCGGAUCGUAAAACUCGGUUGGUAGAGAAGAACGUUGGUGAGAGUGGAAAGCUCAUCAAGUGACGGUAACUACCCAGAAAGGGACGGCUAACUACGUG
rnacentral:rRNA from 1 species